UUUUGAACUAAUGAGUUUUGAAUUGCAGCGGAUUGAUCCAAUUAAGUAUCUGAACUAUUUGAUCUUAAUGCAAAGAGUCCAUAGCAGUGAGGCAAAUAGGACCAGACAGGAAGGAAGGUAGGAAGGAAAGAAGGAAGCAUGGAAGGAAGGAAGGAAAAAAAGAAGGAAAGGAAAGGAAGAAAAAAGAAGAGAAAGUAAAGAAAGGGAGAAAGGAGAAAAAGAAGUAAGGAAAUGAAGGAUAAAAGGAAUAAAAAAGGAAGGAAGGAAAAAGAGAGAUGGAAAUGAAGAAUAGAAAGAAGAAUGCUAACAAAAAUCAGCAUCUUUAUAGUUUAUCUUCACCCAGCUGUGUAAUUGAAAAUCUGUUACCCUAAAAAAUAACUACAUUUCCCAGGAGCCCACUGAUUUCCUGUCAUUACAUACUUCCUAUAGACAGGGGAUAUUAGCCAAUGGUUUGGGGGGGCCUCGCCCUCUUUGACCUUGUCAGUGAGCAUGGGCAUGGUUACCUACAUGGUGUCUCUGCCUUUAGACUAUAGUCAAGAUUGCACAAGCCUGAACAGCUACUACUAUAAAGGAGUUUGGAGCAUGGAAGCUGCUAUUUCAAAAGGAGGAGAUGCAGUCCUACAAUCAAAAUUACUUUAGUAAGAGUCUAUAGGAGAAAACUGGAUCUUCAAUGAAGUGGAUGAAUUCUAAGCAUUGCUCCAGAAAAAGCUAAAGAUUAGAAACUUUGAAAUGCAAACCACAAGAGUCUAGAGAAGCCAAAAAAAAAAAGGAAAAUACAGCUGAGCAAUCAGAAGAGGAUGA
rnacentral:lncRNA from 1 species